rnacentral:lncRNA from 1 species
CUAAAUUCUGGUAGCUUAUUUUCUUAUAUGCUUCAAUCUUUAUAAUUUAGUUCUCACAUGAGGGAGAUCUAAUAUUGGAAAUACUUUCAAUCUGUAUGUUUAUGUAUUUAUUCUAGUUGUCCUGGCACAAGGUUAUCAAUGUUGCUGUGUGACCAGCCAUUGGCUUUUCACAUUUACAACUCCUCUGAAUUUUUUCUUGCCUCAUUUCUGGUGCUGGGAAAUUCUGAUAUUUUCUCCUCAUCUCCAUUGUACAUUUUAGGGAUUCUUGAAACUUGUGAUGCACAAACAUCCACACCUUCCACAUAAGUAAAAUAUUUUACUUAGAUAUUUUCUAGCAGACACUGAGUUCUCAUGAGAAAUCCUCAGUCUCUUUAUUUGGAACACCCCACCCCAGUAUUCCAUAUGGAGUAGUCAUGUGUAGAAUGUGAUUACUUCAUUAAUAUGUCGAAGUAUGGGUACAUUUUGAACACAUUUGUGAACUUGUAAUCCCUUUCUUGAUGAAUAGUACCUGCGGAUGAGCAGAAUUGAUAUUUUCUUUGGAGCAGUAAGUUAGCACUGGUAGAAUCUGUUCUGUAAUCCCAGGUCCCUGGGCUCCAGUGUCAAUGCUUCCUCCUUAGAUCCUCCCUGACCCUGUAAAUUUACCUCAGUCUCUAUUUCUUAAUCCAAUAGCUAUUUCAAUUGAUCUUCAAUUACUUUGCAUGUGGCCAGAUAUUAUUUAUGGGUUAUAUUCUAAUUCACAUUUUUCUGAUGUAAUUUCAGAGAGCCUAGAAAAUAUAAUAAACUCCUUCUGACAGGUACUUGAGCCUCAGUAUUUAAACAUGAACAAAUGCAGCAUCUAUUCCCUAUCAUGAGCACUCUUAAUGGCAGUUGAGUGUUUAUAUCAAAAAAAAGUCAGGAAUCAUAAUCAUUUAGAGAUAAAACAGAUCCCAGAUCUGAAAAGUCAGCUAGCUUAGGAGUUUCAAGACUUUAGGAUUUCACAAAUCAAUAAAAUUAAAAAGAAAAAAAUGUAAGGUUUAACAUAGAGAUAUCACUUAAACAAUGACUACUAUUUUGAUAAAAGGACAUUCAACGGUAAAGGUGUGGGAAAUAUAACCUCAGAGAUGAAAAUGUAAUAGCUUGGGCCAAGCUCACUAAGUGUCCUUAUUUUUGUGUUUCCACCAUGGAUGGCUGACACUGUCACCUCUGGCAUGAGUCCACAUCAGCACCCUGGAAAUGCCUCCUAUAGGGUAAUCCUGCAGAAGGCACUAGCACCCCCAGACUCGGGCAGACAGCUGGCUAGACAGUGCUGCUGGGAGAGUACUGCCUCUCAAAACCCGUCUCUCUGUACCAGCUGCCCAGUGUUUCUGUUUCUGCCUACUUGGAGGAACAAAAGCAAUCCUGCUCCUCUCCCCAGAGACAGCUUCAAGUUCCUUCAGCACAUCAUCCGCCCUUCAAGUUAUUCCUACAACAGCUUUACCAAAUAUUUCAC